CCAUCAGCUCGGCGUGCUUUCUUUCCACUGCUCCCUACCAAAUCUAUCAGGUUCUGCCAUCCAACGGUUUGCGUGACACGACCGAGUCGGCGCACCCCCGAGCGAGCGGCGAGGCCCAUCAGCGUUUCUUUCUCCGAAAUGUGGUGAGGGAAGAGGAAGUACAGGUGGCGUCUCCUCUAAUGAUGUCCCCAGCGGAUGACUACAUUACCCAGCAACGCCUGGGCCAGUGAUAGGUGGG